GAGGGUAUAGCUCAAGCAGUAGAGUGCAUGCUUAGCAUGCACGAGGUCCUGGGUUCAAUCGCCAGUACUUCCU
rnacentral:tRNA from 1 species